GAAUUUUGGACAAUGGGCGCAAGCCUGAUCCAGCCAUUCCGCGUGAGUGAAGAAGGCCUUCGGGUUGUAAAGCUCUUUCGCAAGGGAAGAAACGAUACAGGUUAAUAACCUGUGUUAAUGACGGUACCUUGAUAAGACGCACCGGCUAACUACGUGCCCUCCGCCGCGGUAAUACGUAGGGUGCGAGCGUUAAUCGGAAGUACUGGGCGUAAAGCGUGCGCAGGCGGUUUUGUAAGUCAGAUGUGAAAUCCCCGGGCUCAACCUGGGAACUGCGUUUGAAACUACAAGGCUAGAGUGUAGCAGAGGGGGGUAGAAUUCCACGUGUAGCAGUGAAAUGCGUAGAGAUGUGGAGGAAUACCAAUGGCGAAGGCAGCCCCCUGGGUUAACACUGACGCUCAUGCACGAAAGCGUGGGGAGCAAACAGG
rnacentral:rRNA from 1 species